AAGGCGUGGAGAGACGUCAGCCCUGGAUUCCAGGUGAACCAUUCAGGGCUCAGGCUGACACAGAGCACUCACCACGGAGCUGGGUCUGAGCUGGGUUCUCCUUGUUUUUCUGAUGAAAGGUGUGCAGUGUGAGGUGCAGCUGGUGGAGUCUGGGGGAGGCUUGGUGCAGCCUGGGGGGUCCCUGAGACUCUCCUGUGCAGCCUCUGGAUUUGGCUUCAGUAGUUACUACAUGAACUGGCUCUGCCAGGCUCCAGGGAAGAGGCCUGAGUGGCUCUCAUACAUCAAUAGUGAUAGUAGUUACAUAAAGUAUGCAGAAUGCGUGAAGGGCCGCUUCACCACCUCCAGAGACAACAGCAAGAACACACUUUACCUGCAGAUGAACAGCCUGAGAGUGGAGGACACGGCCAUCUAUUACUGUGCCACAGAGCCCAGUCGUGGGCACCAGUGA